GGUCUGAGGACAUCCCUGUGGAAAUAUGGAGAGAAUUGAUUCAACCCAGCAAUUUUAAGAAUGGUCUCCCGAAACCAACUUAUGAGUUAACUUUUAAAGGUGUUAAAGGAGGAGACAAAGUUAAGCAUACAAAUAGAAGGAAUCGAGGUUACAAGUAUAAAUUUGUAACUUUAUGGUUUAUAAUUGAUGAUUCUAGGUAUAUGAUAUUAACCCUACUAUUAUGGAAUGAUUUUAGUAUAUAUAAGUAUAAUUUAUGCUAUUAUGUGUAUGGUACUCUAUUAUUAUAGUAUGANN
rnacentral:lncRNA from 1 species